GCACCCUGAUGAUUCCUUGUAGAAUGUGAGCACAAGCAACUGUAACGUGUGCUCAGAAAUACCUGCAGGUAUUGUCCUGAUCAUGCCAGUCACUUGGCAGCUCAGUGCGAGAAAAGGAAGGGUAGAUUUAUUGUUUUGUUGCCCCUCCGUUAGUCAAUAGUCAGUGUGAGCGGCAUGUUUCAUCCUGAUAAUAUCCACAGUUACGGUUUAAACCUCCCAGGUGUAUUAUUUCACUUUGUUUGUCCAGCUGAGUUUAAAUGCGUUCUGAUAGUCUGAGCAGUCAGAGGCCCUCUCAGGAAUUCUUUAGGAGCCAGGAUGGAUUCUUGUUAUCAGCUCUGUUUAAAUUCAAUCAUUUUGUCUGUAUGUGGUCAGAGCUCACAUAGCCGACUGGAUACUUGCAGGCUUUGCAGCCUCGAACCACAAACAUGUGAUGUUAUCCACACAUUAUCAUUCACCCCCCUUCAUUGUUCAGGAAAUCACACAACAUCCCGUCUCACAUGUGUUGGUCUUGACCUGAUGUGUGUUAGUGUGUGGAGCUUAUCUCAGCCUGGUUCUUUGCACAGAAACAUCUGGCAUCGGCUGCGGGGGGAGGGCUGCCUCGUCAGGAAGAAGUGAAGUCAUUCUCCUUUGGAGCUGCCAGCAAAGUUUGCUGCUCAACUCCCCCCAAAGCUGCACACACUUGCAUGGAGACAAACCGUUGUUUGUGCGAUGGCCUCACUUUGAGAAGAAAAACAAUCUGGUUUGUGCUCCGAGGAUCAGAGAUCUGUUCCAUCCAUGCUGCUGUACUUUUAACGCUGGAGGAGGUGGGUCCAAUCCCGCCCAAGUCCUCUACUCCAAAGGAAGAAAAGUCAUUCCAUGAUCGAUUUAGAUUUCUCUUUGGUUCAUUCACUGCAUUUUAUUGAUUGAUAAAGCAGAUGAUGACAUUUCCAUUGUUGAUAGGAUUCUGUGUCUUCUUCUGAACACAGCGACUCCUGCAUUUUUCUUAUGGAUUCUCAAGUGAUUGUUUGUAUGUUAUAGAUAGAGGAUCGACGUUCAAUUACGUUUUUAGGUUUUUCAUUUAAGGAAGCAACAUAUUAAAUCCAGGAUCUGCAACAAUAGGAGCCUCCACAUUUGACCACUUUGUCUAUAAACCAAAGAGGACCAGAUUUGGUGAGACGAAAAUGUUUGAGGGCCAACCAUUCGGCCUGACAUUCUUUGAACUAUUACAAUGACAUUCAAUGCAAGUGAACUAUUCAAUGAACGUUUUAUUGCAAUGGCUUACUUUUCUUUUCCUAACGUAGAAGAGCGGUCAACCUCUAAACGGCAGAUCGCAGGCUCAGCUACCACCCUGCUUACCCACGUGCUGAAGCGUCCUUGGGCAACUAAACCCCACAUCACUCCUGGUGGUGAUAGGCGGAGCCAGUGUUUGGCAGUGGAGACAGCAUCAGUGUUUGAAUGUGUGAAGACCUUCAAGUAAGGAUGCUAAAGGAGGAAACCCCAAGAUCUGUCUCAGGCACCUCCUCCAGGAGCUGAGAGGUUUCUCUCCAGGGCGUCCGGGCUCUACUGGGGGUCUCCUCCUGGUGCCCAAUACAUCCCCUUGAAGGUCGUCGUUCCAGAUAUUCAAACAUCUCCAGGGCUUUGGUAGCUCUUCACCAUGUGGCUCCAUUUCAAAAUGUAAAACAAUGGAGCUGAGACGAUUCAGAAGCUAAUCCUGUGACACACAUAGGCGUUCAUGGUCCGGAUGGGUCUGCACACGCUCCACAGUCUGAAAAUCAAGGGUGUGACUGCUGUUUGAGGUGUCUUCUUUAUAACAGCAUCCUUUGUUUGGAUGUGAGAAACGGCGGAGUCCCCUGAGGUUUGUUCAGGAAAGUUCUGGGUGCUCCAGACUGUCGGAGUGAAGCGCAGGUCACAGUUGUUAGUGUAACCCUUCAUCAUGCUUAAUGUGUAUAAUCUCUGCUGGACUCCUCCAGGACAGCGGCAAGACACUCCCUGUAAACCGUCUCAUGAGAGCUUUAAGACUUUUCUGACCCAUCAUCCAUGAAGCACCUUCACUCCCAAAAGGGCUUUCUCUAUCACAUCGUGCUGUGAGUUGAGUGGUCCAGAGAAGGAGUGGCAGCUGCAGCCCAAUGUCUCAAGGAGAUGCCAUGAAGUUGGACUAGAGCAAAGUGAUUGCGUGGGUUGGCUCUUUGUUUCCCCAACUCUGUCUAUGACUCACCAGCCAAGCCUCCUUCUUCUGAUUUCACACAUUAAUGCCUGUUUUCAGUGCAGCAUUAAUUACUGCUGUGAGCGAGGAAGCAGGUUCAGGCGCAGCUCAGCAGGGUUUACAGCAAAGUCCAUAAUAUUGAACAUUUACUCCAAAGCAAACAGAGAUUGUGAAACGUUCAGAUGCCAAACCUUUAAAUAAACACAAAUCACACAAUA